UCAAAGGUGGUUUCRGCCRUCACUUUGGGAUGGGCCCGCGGUGCAUUAGCUAGUUGGUAAGGUAACGGCUUACCAAGGCGAUGAUGCAUAGCCGAGUUGAGAGACUGAUCGGCCACAAUGGAACUGAGACACGGUCCAUACUCCUACGGGAGGCAGCAGUAGGGAAUCUUCCACAAUGGGCGCAAGCCUGAUGGAGCGACACCGCGUGAGUGAAGAAGGGUUUCGGCUCGUAAAGCUCUGUUGUUGAAGAAGAACGUACCUGAGAGGAAAUGUUCAGGUAGUGACGGUAUUCAACCAGAAAGUCACGGCUAACUACGUGCCAGCAGCCGCGGUAAUACGUAGGUGGCAAGCGUUAUCCGGAUUUAUUGGGCGUAAAGCGAGCGCAGGCGGUUUGUUAAGUCUGAUGUGAAAGCCUUCGGCUCAACCGAAGAAGUGCAUCGGAAACUGGCGAACUUGAGUGCAGAAGAGGGCAGUGGAACUCCAUGUGUAGCGGUGGAAUGCGUAGAUAUAUGGAAGAACACCAGUGGCGAAGGCGGCUGCCUAGUCUGCAACUGACGCUGAGACUCGAAAGCAUGGGUAGCGAACAGGAUUAGAUACCCUGGUAGUCCAUGCCGUAAACGAUGAGUGCUAGGUGUUGGAGGGUUUCCGCCCUUCAGUGCCGCAGCUAACGCAAUAAGCACUCCGCCUGGGGAGUACGACCGCAAGGUUGAAACUCAAAGGAAUUGACGGGGGCCCGCACAAGCGGUGGAGCAUGUGGUUUAAUUCGAAGCUACGCGAAGAACCUUACCAGGUCUUGACAUCUUGCGCUAACCUAAGAGAUUAGGCGUUCCCUUCGGGGACGCAAUGACAGGUGGUGCAUGGUCGUCGUCAGCUCGUGUCGUGAGAUGUUGGGUUAAGUCCCGCAACGAGCGCAACCCUUGUUACUAGUUGCCAGCAUUCAGUUGGGCACUCUAGUGAGACUGCCGGUGACAAACCGGAGGAAGGUGGGGACGACGUCAGAUCAUCAUGCCCCUUAUGACCUGGGCUACACACGUGCUACAAUGGACGGUACAACGAGCAGCGAACUCGCGAGGGCAAGCAAAUCUCUUAAAAYCGUUCUCAGUUCGGACUGUAGGCUGCAACUCGCCUACACGAAGUCGGAAUCGCUAGUAAUCGCGGAUCAGCAUGCCGCGGUGAAUACGUUCCCGGGCCUUGUACACACCGCCCGUCACACCAUGGAAGUUUGCAACGCCCAAAGUCGGUGGACUAACCUUCGGGAAG
rnacentral:rRNA from 1 species